UUCUGUGUCUAUAUAAUCUUCAGGGCUAAAAUCAAGAAGCCGGGAGCAAUAAAUGAAUGAAAGAUAGGCUAUACUAUAUACUGCCCUAUGACGUCAGGCUUGCCCAUGUGACUUGAUCUGGACAAUGCAAUCUCCUGUGAAAUGCAACAAGUUUCACCUGCAUAUCACAUUCCCAUUGC